AACAAGCAGACUAAAGUCUUCAACUACCUGGAAAAAAAAUGUAUUGUCAAGUUCACAUGUUGUGUCCAUGAAUUACUCAACGUCCUCGAUAAAAAGUUCCAAGUAAUCACACAUAUGAUUUUAAUCAUAUACAAGCACUAUAAAUUAAAUAUUAUAUUACAAACACGUGAAAUUUAUAGACAGUUUUGUUCUUAUUGGUGUAUUUGAUAAAAGCUAAGAAUUUAAUUCUGUAAAACCCUAUAAACUAAAGUCAAAUCUGUCCAGAUGAUUAUUAAAACAAUUUUCAGUAGCAGAAGUUAUAACAUCUAGACGUAGCACAGGUAGACUUCCAAAUAUCGAACACUCUAUUUGCCAAAAACAUUUGACGUGUUUUUAUUUCAUAAUUAUUUUUUCAAUAAUUCUCCUAGACCACAGCUCCAAUAAUAAUAAAGAAUUCUGAAAUUUAAAAUAAAAUCAGCACGUUCCUUCCAAGUUAGUAACUUGAGAUUUGAACAUUUCUUGCAGUCGGUUGGUAUUGGAACACAUAAACCAUACAGGACCUUAAUAUCCAAUAGACGGCCAUAUAGACAAGUGUUUUUUACAACUUAAUAAAAUUGUGAAAUUUCACAGUUGAUGCAAUAUGCUGGGACCAAAAGAGAUCCUUAGUUACUAUUAGUCCGAGAUGUAACACUAUACAUUUGUCCACGUUAAAAGGAAGUAACCAUUCGCUGCACCACUUCCAAAUAGAGCACAGAUCUGUUUGCAGUUGCUUUUGGUGAGAAACUAAGGGAAGUGCGUAGAUUUUUGUGUCGCCUGCAAACAUUGACACUUAACAUUGUAGUUCUAAAGGCCAAAAACGGAGCCCUCGGGGACUCCACUCGAUAGUUUUUGUAUUUCAAGAAGUCUAACAAACCUCCUUUAAGGCCAAUAUAUUCUAACUUAUACAACAGUCGUUUCGUAGGAACUGCAUCAAAUGCCUUAGCAAAGUCAAAGUAGAUGAAAUCCAUUGGUUGAUUUUUGUGCAAGAAUGAUAUAAGAGGCGCAACUAACACUUUACAAUAUUUAAAAAAAAAUGCCUAUUAUUAUGAUUAAGAACUGCAUAACUUAAUAGGGCAGGAAAAUUUAAUGUUUCCUUUGAUUCCAGGCAAUUGGGACAUUAGGAAUAAAAAUCAAAUGAUACGAUAUUUUCUUUGCAUAACUUGUUUUUUGUGAUGUAAUAUAUGGACCAUGCCUCGAAA